UUUGUGGGCACAGGUUUGCCCAAUAAAAAGUUUGUUUCAUCAAUCACAGUUUUGCGACUGUUUUCUUCAUCGUCACUACCCAGGCAGCAAAAGUCGGCUACAAGCGUUCCUGACUCGGCUUGACCCAGCUUUACACGGCUAGUGCUAAGUUAAGCUCUAAAUUAGACGUCUUCUGUACAGCUUAUAUUAUAUGUCUUGAAGACUUCUGCUAUAAGACCUGGUGGAGACGUACAGGCUCAGGUACACAUUUUUAAAGUCAAUCUCCAAGUCUUGCAAGCAAAACUUGCGCACAUUUUUACUACCAGCUUGCAACGAUUCCUUCGACAGCACCAUCAGUGGAAUGAUUACAUCGUUAUGUUAUCAUCACAUAACAGCUCUCCGCACAAUACAGUGUAUUACCAGCGUACUGCAAGGUUUAUGCUCGAGACGAUUUCGCAUAGACCGCUAGUUAGACGGUUACAGCACGCGUACCAAGUAUCAGCCACUGAGGAAGGUACCUUCCUCCAUGGCCAAUUCAAACCUACCGGGUCAGCUCAAACUGAAAGCCGGGCCAUAGUUUCGUGUGCCCGUCAUGGCAAUACAACAAAACCUUUCAAUAAAUAUGUGUACCGUUAUUACGCAAUUCGUAAAAGCUUUAAUAAAAACAUUUUGAACGAAGUUUCACAGGCUAGUAUAACAUGGCGCGGCGCAACAGUUGGUGCGCUACUAUGGCUUGGCCGCUUCCAACACUAGCUCCCGCGCCUCCCGUGCUGCCGUGCAUUGUCUCCGUUCGCGCUUGCCGUGUCGCGCAUGGCCGCGCGCCCGCGCCUUGCAAAGAAUUCAACGGGUCGGUUUCAUGCAGACAUUGCAUUCCCUGUGUGUUUCUGCGUUGAUGGCUCAGCUUCAUUUUGGUGCUUUCAGACAUUCACAUACUAAUGACAGACAUGGGAAGACUAUAAGACGUCAAGAUGAAAGGCUCCUAGCAGCUCUCAGUGUUCCCAACGAAACUGGCAGAAUGGCAAUGGCUUGAUUACAAGCUGCCUUUGGAGAACAAAGAAACCGUGACCACAUUAGAAUCCGAGCACAGCUCCAAUCCUGCAUUCUGACGACACCUUACACAACGGCUCUCUGUUAUGGGGGGCCGGUACUUAAGGAGCUUUACUGCGGGCAUCCUACCCACUAUUUUCAGACAGUUUGGGUGGAAACUUAAGCUAGACUCUAGGCCAGCGGCGGAAAAAGAGCUUCAGGGACGUGCAUGUCUACAGUGUUAUGGAAGGUAAGUUUAGAGGGCUGCUGUUUGACUGGGCAUAAGUGGAGUGACUCUUACCCACAAAAUCCAUGCUGUUUUGAAUGAACAAAUAAAUAAAAACAUGAACACAUUUGAAAAAAUAUCAUCCAUCCAGUGUAGCUAAGUCGGGUGGAUAUCUUUUUCUUUUAUAAGCCUUCCUCCCCCUUGCAGUUCCAUAGAACUGAUGUUCCACAAAUUUUAUUUAUGAGUUGCAGAUCUGUUCGUAUGUAGCAAUGGUUCGAUAUCAGCCACAACUGCUGAUACCGUGUACACGUGCUACUUGCACUGUUUGACUAGAUGGUUUGGUAUUCCAGAAGCUAUUCAUAGCAAUACCACGUGGGAAAAUGUGAUGAUCCCAUGCCAUUCGCCAAGCAGCAACUGCCUGGUUGA